UAAAGGGAGAGUCUCAGACACUGUGCUACACUUCCAGCCUCUUACACACUCUGGGAUCUGUCACUGUGCUGUGUUGUGUGGACAAACAGGGUAUCCUGUCGUGGCCUAACCCCAGUCCAGAGACCGUGCUGUUCUUCAGCGGACGGGUCGAACCACCUCACAACAGCCAGGAUGAUCUCAGAGACGACCUGUCCGUCAACUCCUACUGCCGAAUGGAGACGGAUGACGACAGGGAUGAGGCCCAGGAGGGGCAGGCUCUGCUCUGUCUACCGGCAGAGUCCUCCACCCAGCUGGGGGAGGGGCCCGAGCCGAGCGAGACCUCACACGACAGCAUUCGCUCAUCUGACACGGUCCGGCUUCGGCGUUCCUGCCAGCCCGC